CGGGAGCUGGCCGAGGGCGCGGACCUGCCGUCGCUGCCCGCGCUGAUCGCCGACAGCGGUUCGGUGCCGCUGCUGCUGGC
rnacentral:tRNA from 1 species